GAUGAACGCUGGCGGCGUGCUUAACACAUGCAAGUCGAACGAAGCACCUUGAUUUGCUUCUUCGGAUGAAGAUCUUGGUGACUGAGUGGCGGACGGGUGAGUAACGCGUGGGUAACCUGCCUCAUACAGGGGGAUAACAGUUAGAAAUGACUGCUAAUACCGCAUAAGACCACAGCACCGCAUGUUGCAGGGGUAAAAACUCCGGUGGUAUGAGAUGGACCCGCGUCUGAUUAGGUAGUUGGUGGGGUAACGGCCUACCAAGCCGACGAUCAGUAGCCGACAGGAGAGGGGGACCGGACACAGUGGGAGUGAGACACGGACCAAACUCCUACGGGAGGCAGGAGUGGGGAAUAUUGCAAAAUGGGGGAAAAACUGAUGAAGCGACGCCGCGUGAGCGAUGAAGUAUUUCGGUAUGUAAAGCUCUAUAAGCAGGGAAGAAAAUGACGGUACCUGACUAAGAAGCACCGGCUAAAUACGUG
rnacentral:rRNA from 1 species